rnacentral:rRNA from 1 species
UGCGGAGGGAUCAUUACAGAGUUAUCCAACUCCCAAACCCAUGUGAACUUAUCUCUUUGUUGCCUCGGCGCAAGCUACCCGGGACCUCGCGCCCCGGGGGGCCCGCCGGCGGACAAACCAAACUCUGUUAUCUUCGUUGAUUAUCUGAGUGUCUUAUUUAAUAAGUCAAAACUUUCAACAACGGAUCUCUUGGUUCUGGCAUCGAUGAAGAACGCAGCGAAAUGCGAUAAGUAAUGUGAAUUGCAGAAUUCAGUGAAUCAUCGAAUCUUUGAACGCACAUUGCGCCCAUUAGUAUUCUAGUGGGCAUGCCUGUUCGAGCGUCAUUUCAACCCCUAAGCACAGCUUAUUGUUGGGACUCUACGGCUUCGUAGUUCCCCAAAGACAUUGGCGGAGUGGCAGCAGUCCUCUGAGCGUAGUAAUUCUUUAUCUCGCUUUUGUUAGGCGCUGCCCCCCCGGCCGUAAAACCCCCAAUUUUUUCUGGUUGACCUCGGAUCAGGUAGGAAUACCCGCUGAACUUAAGCAUAUCAAU